ACAAUUUUACAACUUUAAAUGUAUUUGAGGUUUAAAAAGGCUUCUGAAGUUUGUAAUUUCCACUUUGAAAUGUCCGACUUGAUUUCCCCUUACAAAAAUGUCCAUGAAUUAUAAUCCAUGUAAUAAUUCACAUUUCCUGUUGGUGCAGGAUUAUUUUCCUGUUGUAGCAAACUGGCUCAAAUGAAGAUCCUACAUCUGUACUCAGUAUUCCCAUACUAUGUCAUGAGAACAUGGGCUCCCAACAUUCAAAGUUUUAACCAUACUUGUUAAGAUUUCCAUUGAGAUCCACCCACAUGUUGUUAUUUGGUUGUGUGCCCUGGCAUGCUCUGGGGGCAGGUGGUUUAAGGAUGCCAGAGAGCUGACAGACCAGAGGAAGUACCACAUAGAGAGUGACGCCCGCAGUGGGAUCCUCACUCUCACCAUAAUGAACCCUGGAGAGACAGACCUGGGACUGUAUGAGUGUGAGCUGUGGAACCAGUUGGGCAGUGCCAAGUGUAAAGCAGAGCUGUGCGCCGCCUUCACACAAGUGAUUGACAGUGAGCCUGACCAACCACAGGUCCUCUUGACCAAAGGUAGGAGAGUUUCACCCAAUCAAGGUAAAUGUCCACCUGGGAGUAACGAAGCAGGUUUUGAGAAGAAGGCUGUCUACACCAUAAGACAUGGUUAAUAGGAUGACAGUAAUAUAUUUAAGCAAUAAGGCCCAAGGAGGUGUGAUAUAUGGCCAAUAUACCACUGCUAAGGACUGUACAUAGCCGUGGUAUAUUGGCCAUAUAGCUAAAACCCCGAGGUACCUUAUUGCUAUUAUAAACUGGUAACCAAUGUAAUUAGAGCAGUAAAAAUAAAUGUUUUGUUAUACCCGUGGUAUACGGUCUGAUAUACCAUGGUUGUCAGCCAAUCAGCAUUCAGGGCCAGAACCACCCUAGUUUAUAAUAUAGGAUAAAGACCCCAUAUGUCCAACUCUUACUGAUUUCUCAUGAGAGACAAGGAUAAGUAUUGUGUUAUCCCAGUUUUAUUCUGUGGACAAUAUAAAUGUAGUGUUAACUGAUGAGGGAUUAGGAAAGCACAUGCCAUGGUUAUUCCUUAGUUUCACCCCACUUCACUUUAUACCUGUUUUCACAUGUCAGUCAUCAUUGCCAUUCCUCAUUUUCAAUUUGGAUUAUCUCAUUACCUAGGUUACACUUUCUCUCCCAUGUCCUUCCAAACACCCUCGAAACCAUAUACACUUCCAGUCACCUACAUUAGCAAUCAACAUAGAUCUCAUAUCAUUCGUAGUUGUACAUAUUCAUGAAAGACAUUGAUACAAUUUAGUAUUGGAUGUUUUGGUUUGUGUUUUCAUCAUGUUUCCAUCUUUCAGAAAUGAAUAGUAUUGGAACGGACCGGGUCAUUUGCCCCCAUUUGACUGAUCUUGGUGGAUUUCCAAAAAGCUUUUCCAAACAGGAGAAAGAAGGGGCCAUAGCUCAUUUACAUCUAGGAGUGUUUACCAAAGACAUAUUAAGCCUAGUCCAAGACUGAAAUGCAUUUUCAAUGAAGAUUCUCCAUUGAUCUUGCUUUUUAGUCCAUGACUAGGCUUAAUCUGAGCCCGGGAAACCACCCCUCAGAGUCCAUAUCAGGACCUACUUACAUGUAAUCCAUAUCAAACACCUUUAACACAUUUAAGUCACCAAGUACAUUCAGUUAGUCAAUUUAUUUAAAUAAAUAUUAUAGAUCACUGGCAUUGCAGUAUGUAUAAAUUGCUUUCCUUCAUGAGCUAUGAUUUCACCUCUAAGUAGUUUUCCUUUAGGCUUUUGGACACCAAUUGAUCAUGUGACUCCAUCCAUUCUCUGUAACCCUGCUCUCCAUCCCACUUCCUCUGUAUUCCCCUGAGCAGGGAGUACCUCAGAGCCUUCAUCAUGUAAGUCUUAUCAUGUUCCCAGUAUCAUGGACCCAGUGCAUGUGGAUGGGUCUUCCUCUCUCCUCUCCAACGCAUGCCCAGCUAACUCUCCACUCCUACCCAUACAAGAUGGUCAUGUGCUGGGCAUUAGGCGCUCCUUAUGCCCCUCCCCCCCAUCUGUCCAUGUCCUCCUGUUCAUGGGCUGAUUUACAAACUAUUGGGUGUCCGUCAAGUCUGGAGGUAAGACGUGCACUUGUUAUUAUGCUUAUGUGAGUCUGGAGGUAAGGGUACUGUAUGUUCCUAAUAUUUGCUUUUAUCAUAUUUUUCACAUUCUACAUUUUUAAAUAGACAGUUGUUAAUGCCUCGACACACUUCGCCUCAGUCACAAGUUGGCAUGGCUUCAAAAAAUAUAUUAAACUUAAAGGCCAGCUAAUAUGAAGUAAUGAUUUUGGAUUCUAAGACUCUAAGAGAACCUAAGGGCAUCUGUCAGUCUGUGAGUGAUGUUAUUGUGCUUCCUCCAGACUCAGAUGGCUGGUCCACUGCCAUGGUGAAGCAAUGGCUGCAGACAGACUUCAGCCCCACAUCUAUCGUCAAAAUGCUCUUCCAGCCUGGAUAUCCUAAGCCGUGAGUCUACCUGCCAGAACUGUGAUACUGUACAUUAUCAUACUACUGCACUGUCUCUCUCUCUAUCCCAAUAUAUGCACCGUCUCUAUAUUUAUCACACUAUUUUCUCUACAGAGCUGAGGGUGGCCCAGAGGAAAGGGACCCCACCACCAGAGGCCGCGUGGAGGUGCCACAGUUCCCCAAUGAUCUUGAGGAGAGACCCGAGGUUGAGGAGGAACUUUAUGUCCCUGAGACCAUACAGGAAAUGCCAACAGGUACUUGUACUGUGCACACUCACACUGUAGUUCAUUUUUUGUUGUUUUUGAAGUGGCCACUGUUCCUAAAACUUGAAUAAUCUCACGGAAUUACUUAACUUCCUGUUUCCUCAGCUCCUGCCUCCAUUCAGGUGCCGGCAGAGGACCUGUGUGUGGAGUCUGGCCAAUCAGCUACCUUCACCAUCAUCAUCACAGGAAGGCCAACCCCCGAGAUUCAGUGGUACAAGGUAGGGAAGCUUCAAACCAAUGUGCCUUCUAAAUCUAAGACCCCCAUCAACUGAUUCACUGUAUAAAUAACUUCAUACUAACCUUUAUUAUGAUAUGACAUGCGCCAUAUCAUUUCAGUAUAUCUGACACCGGACUAACCACACCCAUUUAUCAAGCAGUAAUCUAUACUGAACAAAAAUAUAAACCCAACAUGCAACAAUUUCAACGAUUUUACUGACUUACAGUUCAUAUAAGGUAAUCAGUCAAUUGAAAUAAAUUCAUUAGGCACUAAUCUAUGGAUUUCACAUGACUUGGCAGGGGCGCAGCCAUGGUUGGGCUUGGGAGGGCAUAGGCCCACCCACUUUGGAGCCAGGCCCACCCACUGGGGAGCCAAGCCCAGCCAAUCAGAAUGAGUUUUUCCAGACAAAAGGUCUUUAUUACAGA
ensembl:lncRNA